rnacentral:rRNA from 1 species
AGAUUGAACGCUAGCGGGAUGCUUUACACAUGCAAGUCGAACGGCAGCGCGGACUUCGGUCUGGCGGCGAGUGGCGAACGGGUGAGUAAUAUAUCGGAACGUGCCCAGUAGCGGGGGAUAACUACGCGAAAGCGUGGCUAAUACCGCAUACGCCCUACGGGGGAAAGGGGGGAUUCUUCGGAACCUCGUCAACUAUUGGAGCGGCCGAUAUCAGAUUAGCUAGUUGUGAGGUAAAGGCUCACCAAGGCGACGAUCUGUAGCUGGUUUGAGAGGACGACCAGCCACACUGGGACUGAGACACGGCCCAGACUCCUACGGGAGCAGCAGUGGGGAAUUUGGACAAUGGGGGAAACCUGAUCCAGCCAAUCCCGACGUGUGCGAUGAAGG